CAUCCACUUUUCUUUGAAGUUGAACCUUCAAAGGUUUGGGGGCGGGGUUUAAGCUACUCUCUGACACAGCUGCAUAUUUAAAUGGCAUAAACUAUUAAUUUAAAUGGACUACUUGCACAAUCACUUCCGCGGUCCAUGUAGUCCUGCCCCAGUGCUUCCGGUGUGGUUAAACCAUGGCGGCGUUCUACACUCGCUGUCUACAAGAGCUCCCAAAAUUGAACAUCACUGAUGUUCAUCGGAUUUGCAGAGUGACGACUACCCCCGCCAGCAAAUUAGAUAAAGGAUUUAAGUUAUAUGCUGCAUCAUAUAUACACAACUACGAAGUGUCCAAUAAAGACAGGUUGUCAGGGGAGGUCGGUGUGAGAGCCCUGUGCUACAGGUCAAUGAGGAAGAGUGAGGCACCACACAGACUAAGUGUAGGCAGGAAGCUGUGUAAAGUUGUUAAUCCCCGUUCAAUGGGGUUUAGUUCAUUUAAGCAUUAGUUAAGUUCAUUCCUAAAGGCCCAUCAACUUGAAUGUUUUCCUUGUCUCCCUGCUUUAUCACACCUAAUUUGAC
ensembl:lncRNA